AGUGAACGCUGGCGGUAGGCCUAACACAUGCAAGUCGAACGGCAGCACAGUAAGAGCUUGCUCUUACGGGUGGCGAGUGGCGGACGGGUGAGGAAUACAUCGGAAUCUACUUUUUCGUGGGGGAUAACGUAGGGAAACUUACGCUAAUACCGCAUACGACCCACGGGUGAAAGCAGGGGAUCUUCGGACCUUGCGCGAUUGAAUGAGCCGAUGUCGGAUUAGCUAGUUGGCGGGGUAAAGGCCCACCAAGGCGACGAUCCGUAGCUGGUCUGAGAGGAUGAUCAGCCACACUGGAACUGAGACGCGGUCCAGACUCCUACGGGAGGCAGCAGUGGGGAAUAUUGGACAAUGGGCGCAAGCCUGAUCCAGCCAUACCGCGUGGGUGAAGAAGGCCUUCGGGUUGUAAAGCCCUUUUGUUGGGAAAGAAAAGCAGCAGGUUAAUACCCCGCUGUUCUGACGGUACCCAAAGAAUAAGCACCGGCUAACUUCGUG
rnacentral:rRNA from 1 species